UACGUAGGGUGCAAGCGUUAAUCGGAAUUACUGGGCGUAAAGCGUGCGCAGGCGGUUUUGUAAGUCUGAUGUGAAAUCCCCGGGCUCAACCUGGGAAUUGCAUUGGAGACUGCAAGGCUAGAAUCUGGCAGAGGGGGGUAGAAUUCCACGUGUAGCAGUGAAAUGCGUAGAGAUGUGGAGGAACACCGAUGGCGAAGGCAGCCCCCUGGGCCAAUACUGACGCUCAGGCACGAAAGCGUGGGGAGCAAAC
rnacentral:rRNA from 1 species